UACAGAGGGUGCAAGCGUUGUUCGGAAUUAUUGGGCGUAAAGCGCGUGUAGGCGGCUUUGCAAGUCAGGUGUGAAAGCCCUCAGCUUAACUGAGGAAGUGCGCCCGAAACUGCUUGGCUUGAGUACCGGAGAGGAUGGCGGAAUUCCCCAAGUAGAGGUGAAAUUCGUAGAUAUGGGGAGGAACACCGGUGGCGAAGGCGGCCAUCUGGACGGAUACUGACGCUGAGACGCGAAAGCGUGGGUAGCAAACAGG
rnacentral:rRNA from 1 species